rnacentral:tRNA from 1 species
GGCCGAGUAGCUCAGUUGGUUAGAGCGUCGUGCUGAUAACGCGAAGGUCGAGGGUUUGAGCCCCUCCCCGGCCA